rnacentral:rRNA from 1 species
AACGAACGCUGGCGGCAUGCCUAACACAUGCAAGUCGAACGAGACCUUCGGGUCUAGUGGCGCACGGGUGCGUAACGCGUGGGAACCUGCCCUUAGGUUCGGAAUAACUCCCCGAAAGGGGUGCUAAUACCGGAUGAUGUAUUAGGACCAACGAUUUAUGGCCUUUGGAUGGGCCCGCGUUGGAUUAGCUAGUUGGUAGGGUAAAAGCCUACCAAGGCGACGAUCCAUAGCUGGUCUGAGAGGAUGAUCAGCCACACUGGGACUGAGACACGGCCCAGACUCCUACGGGAGGCAGCAGUGUGUAAUAUUGGACACUGGGCGAUAGCGUGGUCCAGCAAUGCCGCGUGUGUGAUGAAUGCCUUAGUGUUGUAAAGCUCUUUGACCCGGGAUGAUAAUGACAGUACCGGGAGAAGAAGCUCCGGCUAACUCCGUG